rnacentral:rRNA from 1 species
CCAGGAUGUUGGCUUAGAAGCAGCCAUCAUUUAAAGAAAGCGUAAUAGCUCACUGGUCGAGUCGGCCUGCGCGGAAGAUGUAACGGGGCUAAACCAUGCACCGAAGCUGCGGCAGCGAACGUAUCACUUAAAGCGAUUCAGCGGGUUACGAUUGACGGAGCGAAGCGACGUCAAAGCGUAUACAAAGUCGAGUCGGUUUAAGGAUACGUUCGUUGGGUAGGGGAGCGUUCUGUAAGCCUGUGAAGGUGGCCUGUGAGGGUUGCUGGAGGUAUCAGAAGUGCGAAUGCUGACAUAAGUAACGAUAAAGCGGGUGAAAAGCCCGCUCGCCGGAAGACCAAGGGUUCCUGUCCAACGUUAAUCGGGGCAGGGUGAGUCG